AGAGUUUGAUCCUGGCUCAGGACGAACGCUGGCGGCGUGCCUAACACAUGCAAGUCGAACGGGGUUAGUAUGGAAGUACCUUCUGGAAUGGAAGUGCUAACUUAGUGGCGAACGGGUGAGUAACGCGUGAGAAACCUGCCUCUCAGUGGGGGACAACAGUUGGAAACGACUGCUAAUACCGCAUAACACUUUAGUACCGCAUGGUACAGAAGUCAAAGCUUUAUGUGCUGAGAGAUGGUCUCGCGUCUGAUUAGCUAGAUGGCGGGGUAACGGCCCACCAUGGCGACGAUCAGUAGCCGGUCUGAGAGGAUGAACGGCCACAUUGGGACUGAGAUACGGCCCAGACUCCUACGGGAGGCAGCAGUGGGGAAUAUUGGGCAAUGGGGGAAACCCUGACCCAGCAACGCCGCGUGAAGGAAGAAGGCCUUCGGGUUGUAAACUUCUUUUAGUAGGGACGAAGAACGUGACGGUACCUACAGAAAAAGCAACGGCUAACUACGUGCCAGCAGGCCGCGGU
rnacentral:rRNA from 1 species